CGGUACACAGGUGCGUGCGCCAGCACGUCGCCGAGGCAGUAGUGAAAUACUACCCGUCAGUGACUGCGACCCUCACUCCGGGAGGAGAACACCGGUAGCCGGGCAGUUUGACUGGGGCGGUACGUGCUCGAAAAGAUAUCGAGCGCGCCCGAUGGUCACCUCAUCCGGGUCAGAGCCCCGGAGAAGAGCGCAAGAGCAGAAGGUGGCCUGACAGUGUCCUUCCUAACACGGGACGCUGACGCGAGAGCGUGGUUUAGCGAACGGUCCAGGGCCCUCAAUGGGCCCGGGGUACGACAGAAAAGCUACCUUAGGGAUAACAGAGUCGUCACUCGCAAGAGCACAUAUCGACCGAGUGGCUUGCUACCUCGAUGUCGGUUCCCUCCAUCCUGCCCGUGCAGAAGCGGGCAAGGGUGAGGUUGUUCGCCUAUUAAAGGAGGUCGUGAGCUGGGUUUAGACCGUCGUGAGACAGGUCGGCUGCUAUCUAUUGGGGGUGUGAGGUACCUGCCGUGAACGCUCGCAUAGUACGAGAGGAACUGCGAGUGGUCGCCACUGGUGUACCGGUUGUCCGGAAGGGCAGAUGCCGGGUAGCUACGCGACACGGGGUAAGAGCUGAACGCAUCUAAGCUCGAAACCCACACGCAAAAGAGGUACCGUAGAGGUCGCUCGUAGAAGACGAGUUAGAUAGACUCGGGGUGUACGCGCCGAGGGAACGAGGCGUUUUAGCCCACGAGAACUAACAGACCGAGCCACAGUCAUC
rnacentral:rRNA from 1 species